rnacentral:rRNA from 1 species
UACGUAGGGGGCAAGCGUUGUCCGGAUUUAUUGGGCGUAAAGAGCGUGUAGGCGGCUGGGUAGGUCCGUUGUGAAAACUCGAGGCUCAACCUCGAGACGCCGAUGGAAACCCCCCAGCUAGAGUCCGGAAGAGGAGAGUGGAAUUCCUGGUGUAGUGGUGAAAUGCGCAGAUAUCAGGAAGAACACCCGUGGCUAAGGCGGCUCUCUAGUACGGUACUGACGCUGAGACGCGAAAGCGUGGGGAGCGAACAGU